rnacentral:tRNA from 1 species
GGGCGAGUGGCGGAAUUGGCAGACGCGCAGGCUUCAGGUGCCUGUGAGCUUAGGCUCGUGGGGGUUCAAGUCCCCCCUCGCCCACCA